rnacentral:rRNA from 1 species
UGGGGAAUAUUGGACAAUGGGCGCAAGCCUGAUCCAGCAAUGCCGCGUGAGUGAUGAAGGCCUUCGGGUUGUAAAGCUCUUUCGCACGCGACGAUGAUGACGGUAGCGUGAGAAGAAGCCCCGGCUAACUUCGUGCCAGCAGCCGCGGUAAUACGAAGGGGGCUAGCGUUGUUCGGAAUUACUGGGCGUAAAGGGCGCGUAGGCGGUGUGUCAAGUCAGGCGUGAAAGCCCCGGGCUCAACCUGGGAACCGCGCUUGAGACUGGCACGCUAGAGUUCGGGAGAGGAUGGUGGAAUUCCCAGUGUAGAGGUGAAAUUCGUAGAUAUUGGGAAGAACACCGAUGGCGAAGGCAGCCAUCUGGACCGACACUGACGCUGAGGCGCGAAAGCGUGGGGAGCAAACAGGAUUAGAUACCCUGGUAGUCCACGCCGUAAACGAUGAGUGCUAGACGUCGGGGUCCUCAGGGCUUCGGUGUCGCAGCUAACGC